CUAUCCCUCUCAUCAUAAUCCAUACCCCCUCUCCCUAUCUCUCUCCUUAGAAAGAAAAGAGAAAGAUUUCGCAACAGGGCACUGCAGAGAAACAACACAGAUUUGCCCAGCUUCAAAUUAUCCCCCACCCCCUAAUCUUCUAAUAUUGUUAAUAUUUACUGUUGCCUCUCUUUCCUCUGUCACUCGAUUCAUCAAAUCCCUUUUUUCCCCCUCGCCCCCCAUUGUCAUACCCCAUAAAACAACCCCUCCUCCCUUCCUUUUCUUCCCAUUCCUCUUCAGCUUCAAAACCC
rnacentral:lncRNA from 1 species